rnacentral:sRNA from 1 species
AUGUACCACGCGAUGCGUACACUCCUGUUCCUCCGCGCCGUCCGCACCCACCUGACGACUGCUCGCUACGUUUUGCUAGCC